rnacentral:lncRNA from 1 species
GCUCCGAGGCGGGGGCCUCGGGCAGGUCGCUCUCCACGCAGUACACGGAGCAGAAGACUUGUCUCUUGGCGAGGGACGGGCGCCGCUGACCCAGCACGUCCAGGACCAGUCCGUCGGCGGCCCCCACGCGGGUCCUGGGCUCCAGCUCUUCGCCGGGGGGCGCCUCCUGCUGUUCAUCCCCUCCCUCUUUUCGAUCCCCAGCUUCCUCCUCUUCCUCCUCCAGCUCCAACUGCAGUGGCAAGGUCUGGGGAUUGAGAGGCCCGGCAUGACUAAGAGAUAUCGUGAAAUUACAACUCAACAAUGAAUUACAGCACAGGCUUUUCACAACUAAGAGACUGUCCAUCAUGGUGCCAGUUUUUCUCAAAAUGGCAUGUGUGCAUGAAAUUCUACAGGCAUAUGGGGUCGUGAUCUGCUAAUCUCCAGUUAUUAUAACUACUUUGAAAAGGGACUUUCCAGCUAUCAGUACACUAUCUCACAAUUACCCUUGAACCAGAAGACAAUGAAUGAUUUGCUAAACAGAUGGCAUAGUCUAUGACAUGCAUCAUAUGUGUGAGCAAUCACAGAAGACUCCUUCCUGUUGCCUUGUGAAGAAGGCUCCUGCUUCCCCUUCACCUUCUGCGCGAUUGUAAGUUUCCUGAGGCCUCCUAGCCAUGCUUCUUGUUCACUCUGCGGAACUACCAAAUUAUGAUUGUAUGUCCCAGAAAUUCACUUAGAAGCUAAUAGAAAAAAUGAAACCAAAGCCUUUUGAUAAGCAGAGGAGAUUUGGGAAGUCAAAGUUCAAUCAAAGUCAUUUGGAUGAAAUAGGAAGAAGGCAUUAUGAGAAUAGAGUUGAAAAUUUAUCAUGACAUAUGCUGGCUGCACAGUCAAAACUUAUCACUGCCCACGACUUCGGAAGCAUGACAGGAGAGCUGUGGGAGCCACUUCCUCGUCAGACGUGGUUUGAUAUGUCAAGUGAGAACCUGAGUAAAGCAAAGAGGUGAACUAUGACUUGGAAUCCUCCAGGCUUUGGCUUCCAUCACACUCCAUGAACUUGAUGCACAUAAUUUAAUGUAGGCCUCCACCCAAUAUCAUCAGUUCUCUUGCAUGUUGAACCCCCAGUUUCCUGGAUCUGACCAACAUGACCUUAAUGUUCCUAUCAGCUCGACUAAACUUUAAAGAGAUUUCUUCCUCAAUAUGGGCCUCUAACUUCCCUUUUCUUAGAGCAUUUACUUUAGAAAUUUUGCAAUUAUCAAUUUUUUCUCCCUAUUUUUGAGAUGUAAAUUUUCUACAACUCAGGAAUGUCUUUCUCAAGGACAUGAGAGAUAUCCCUUUGAAAUGUAAUUGUGAAAAAUGAUAGCACCUCUAUUUCAAUCUGUGUAGGAGAGUAGGAGCCUAACUCAGGUAAGUGACAUUUAGCAAACUCAGAUGGCCUAAACACAUUCACCAACUUCCCCACUAAUGUACUCCCUACUGGUUCAUGUCAGCAUUUAAUAAUCCUUCUGCUUUCUUUUCAGUGGAGCUGAGUUCAGUCUGUCUCUCUUCUGCAGUGGUCUUCUCUCCCAUUGCAAUGGUCUUGAGUAAAGUGUUCUUUGUUUGUUUUACUUGGAGAUGAUGUCAGUUCAAUAUUGAAGUCUCUCUUCCCUACUACAGUAGUUCAAAUAAAAUCCAUCUUGCCAUUCUUAACAAGUAUUGGUAUAAUUUCUCUUUAACAUUUCUCGUGUCUUUCUCUUAAUUGGUUUCUUCUCUUGUUUUACAGAGCAUGUUAGUCACUAGUUUCUUAAGUCUGAUGAAUGUGCUUUCAUUACAUUUUUAUAUUAAUUGACUGAUAUUUUGGAUGGACACAUUUAUACUGCUUGGUUAAAUACGAUUUUCUCUCAGAAUCAUGUGGAAAUUUCUCCGUUAUUUUCUAGUUUCUGUUUUUGCAGUUGAGAAGUCCAAUAUCAUUUUGCUUCCCUACAUUUUUAAAAAAUGUAACCUGUUUCCAUUCUUUCUUUCUUUUGGUAUUUUGCAUCUGUUUUUAAAAAAGCAAUGAUAUAGUUCCAAAACCAUUGAAGAGUAUAAAGGAUAUU